GACUUGAUAAACACAGAUAUAUUUAUUGCUACAGCCAACAAGCAGGAUCCAGCUCUGCUGCAGCCCGAAGUGUGGGAUGUGAGCCCACUCCGUUUCCAUACCUCACCAGAAACCUCCAGAAAAUUGUGUUUUUCCUACAUGCAACCAGGAAUCGAUAAUAUCUACUGCAACAGGAGAAAUACAGAGGGAGGCAAAAGGAUUGAAUAAGAGAAGUGAAACAAGACAGAUUAAGACAAAUUCAGGCAAAUGUUACUGAAAAAUAAUUAAAGAAAAUAAAGAGGAGAUAAAGGCAGUACUUUUCCACUGAUUUUGAAGGAAUAGGAUAAGGCCCGUAAGGAAAAGUGGAGAAAUGCAGUUUUCUUGAAAAUAAAAGAAAGGAGCUGAUGACCUUAUCAUCUCUUCGUUUCCUCACAUCCCCUUUUCCUGACUGGUGUCAUCCACACUCUUCUCUCAGACUGUCUAAUUGAGUAGCAUAAUUAAAUUAAACUCAGAGCAGC